AAGAAAUCAACCCUGAAAAACAUUGGAAGGAUUGAUGAUGAAGCUGAAGCUCCAACAUGAAGGAUUCCAUUUACUGAACUGCUUCAGGAGAGGAGUCAGCGAAUUGGGGUCAAAUUUACAGAUUCGAGUCCCUUCUGGCGCCCUCCAGCAACAGCUCAGAGACAGGGAACCUGGUUGUGGUGAUGGGACCUCUGGAAGGUGUCCAGGAUGUCCUGGGGGCUUCAGCAAUCCAUGAACCGUGAACUUCCAGAUGUUCAAGGUGGUUUUAGAAAAGGCAG